rnacentral:rRNA from 1 species
GGGGAAUUUUCCGCAAUGGGCGAAAGCCUGACGGAGCAAUACCGCGUGAGGGACGAAGGCUUUUGGGUCGUAAACCUCUUUUCUCAAGGAAGAUAAUGACGGUACUUGAGGAAUAAGCAUCGGCUAACUCUGUGCCAGCAGCCGCGGUAAUACAGAGGAUGCAAGCGUUAUCCGGAAUGAUUGGGCGUAAAGCGUCCGCAGGUGGUUUUAUAAGUCUGCUGUUAAAGCGUUAGGCUCAACCUAAUAAGGGCAGUGGAAACUAUUAGACUAGAGUACGUUCGGGGCAGAGGGAAUUCCCAGUGUAGCGGUGAAAUGCGUAGAGAUUGGGAAGAACACCGGUGGCGAAAGCGCUCUGCUAGGCCUGUACUGACACUGAGGGACGAAAGCUAGGGGAGCGAAUGGGAUUAGAUACCCC